rnacentral:misc_RNA from 1 species
GAAAUGCGAUAAGUAAUGUGAAUUGCAGAAUUUAGCGAAUCAUCGAAUCUUUGAACGCACAUUGCGCCCCUUGGUAUUCCAUGGGGCAUGCCUGUUCGAGCGUCAUUUCAACCCUCAAGCACUGCUUGGUGUUGGGCGUUUGUCCCGCCUACGCGCGUGGACUCGCCUCAAAGUCAUUGGCAGCUGUUCCUCUUCGGCUCGUAAGCGCAGCACAGUCGGCGCCCGGAGCUCUGGUGGGAUGGCGUCCAGCAAGCUAUAUUUUCAGGCUUGACCUCGGAUCAGGUAGGGAUACCCGCUGAACUUAAGC